AGCCCUUUCUCUCUCUCCCUCUCUCUCCCUUGUUCUUCUUGUUCUUCUUCUUCUUCUUCAAGGCAGCAACAUCUCUUGUAUCUAAAUUAGAUGGAAAUAGUUAAAGUAGAUGGCAGAAACUGGAACAAGUGGUGGUGGUAGUAUCAAGUUUUUAGCUGCAAAAACAGUUAAUGCAGAAAACUAGUUUACUUCCCCUUAGUUUUACUGUUUCCUCCACUUUGUAGUAUAUAUAUUCCAGCUCCUUCCUAUGGUUUCCCUUCUCAUAUUUCACGUCCUCUUCAAGUCUUGGAAGAACUUACCAUCAAAUUGUAAUUGAAGCACAUAAACAGCAUCAGAAAACUGUAACAGACAGCAGCAGAAACGGUUUCUCAUUUCGUCUUUCCUCUCCUUCUCAUAUUGGCAGGUAUGGUGGAGGAAAUGAUGAUUUGGAGCAAGAAAACAUCUAAGUUAUUUGCUGCACAUGCAAGAAACUAACCCUUCUAUUUCAGUUUCUGUUUUGGUGUCUUGUGUAGCAAAUCGUUUCAUCUCUCUCCUUUCUUCAAUGCUUAUCUUUAACCUAAUUAGUCCUCUAUAUUUGCUUAUUAAACCACUAGAAGAUGUGAAGUGUAGUAUGUGAGCCUUAACCUUAUACAAAAUCAGUUUAUCUAGAUCUUUUAGCAAACCGCUAUGCAUAUGGAUCUUAGAUAGAAUUUUGUUUAGGCAAAUGUUUCACUUUCUUUUCCUUCAUGCCUUGUUUCCAUGAAUCAUGUAGAUAAAUGCUAUAUGAAGGGAUGGAACUUCUUAUCAAAUGAAAAGACCUCAAACCACUAGCUUUCCUAGUAAGAAAAUAUUCCUAAGCUGAACUAUUUUUCUGGUUUAGUUUCCUUGCUGCAAAAUUUCUGCAAUAGUUGCCUUCCUAGUAGUUUUUAUUGGGUCGACUUUUUAGGGUUUUCAUAUCCAUCUUUAGGAAUGUAUUAGAAUGAGGGAAGUUCUGAAAAGAAGAAAAUACACAAGCUGUUGGAUGUCUUACUAGUGCAGAAAAAUAAGCAACUUUACCUCUCAAUUCCUCUUAAGUUUCAGCUCUUUAGUUUGCUUUUAUUUCAUCUCUUCAAUUCAGCCUCAAUAUGUGACUCUAUAAGUGCCAUGACCUUAAAAUCUCAGACAAAAACUAGCUAUCAGCCGCUGCGAUCGAAGACAAAGCAGAAGCAAAACAGUAGCAAGUUGGUUCUUUCCUCAAGCUCUUCUUUUAUUUUUUCAAGCAACCACUAUUACUCAAUGAAAAUGAAGCCAAAGCUCAAGCUGCAGGUCGUCUGUCUUCUACAGUAGCUACAAGUCAUUUAGCAGAGGCUCCACAUGCAAAGCUGAAAUGUGGAAAAGGAUGAUUCUCUCUAUUUUGUCUUUACUUGUAUUUUUCAAUUUAUUAUUCUUUUAUUCUUGGUAAAUAUUUUUGUUGAUUAGCUUGAUGCUAUUUUUAGUAUAGGAAUUCUGUUAGUUGUUAGGAUGGCAGAGAGUAAAUGAGGCCCUCUCCCAUGUCUUCUUAACAAUUCAAUUCCAGUGGAAUAUACAUUUUCUCUUC